GUUUUCCUAUUUCUCCGCCAAAGAAACACCAAAAACCCCAACCUCUUCUCCAUCUCCACCAGGCCGGCCACACAAAAGGACCUUUCUUCUCAUCGACGGUGACCCACAACGUUUUGACUAGCCACUGAAGGGAACUUUUCGUCCGGCCACGACGCGUUUCGGCCAUAUGCUUUUUGGACGGCGAUUUGGUUAUGCAAUUCAAAAGAUCAGAUUUUCCAAACCAUUUCUUCUUUGAAACUUCCACAUCCUUUUACCAGAUUAAGGGGGUUAUGUUGAAGAUGGAAGGGGAAAGAGUAAUUGGGAUGUUUUUUUCUCACAUUCCAGAAAAAAUUAAGAACAAUGACGCAGGAGAUUUGGCCGACAAUCACUACCAUCGGUUUAUGAUAUUGAACUGAUGGGUUCUAUGGUGAUGAAUGCUUAUCGGUUGUCCAUUUCUUGGACCCGAAUUUUGCCCAGUAAGAUUGAUCAUCAGAGUUCAGCUUGCGCAUAUGUUGGAGCAUCUCCAGUUGUUGUAUGAAGAGUACAUUCAGUUUCCAACCACUAUUCGUAUUCAAAAUAUUUGCUUUCAAUAAAUAUGGGAAAUAAAGGUUGUCACCUUACCUUAUCAUGUAGCUUUUAUUGGCUAUUCAUUUUUUUCAGCAAACUCAUAUGUUCCAAGCUCUGUUUCAUCACAAGCCAUCUCUUCACUAUUGUUUUUUCUGCACAAUUUCAAUUAAUCUAUAAGCUAGAGUUCAGUAAGAAGAACAAGAAGAGUUCAGAAAAAAUCAAAAGGAAGAAGACAAACGCACACAUACAAAUACAUUUGCAGGUAAAGAUGAGCUCCCUCUAUGCUAUCAUCAGAUUAUCAAUUCAUAUGAUGAGUUGAAUGACAGUUUUCAGCUCUUGCAUUCUGCUUUUUUAUCAUUUUAUUUGGCUAGAGAGGUGUUGUUCAAAACAGAAAAAUGACUUGCGUUGUGACAAACUUGUAGAAAUGAACCAUGAGCUCGUGGUCAUUCUCAUAAUAUGAACUCACUUUCCCUAGACAGGAUAUGCCAAAUCCUGCAUCUAUAUUAGAAAGAAAGAUCAACACAAGUAUAAAUGUUCCCUUGGAUUAUAAAAGAUGGCUAAUGACACAACAAUCCAGCAGAAAUAGGAAUUUUUUAUAUGUUUUAAUUAAAAAAAAAAUGCUAAUGCUGCCUUUGAUGAUGACAAAAUAAUCGAAUUAAACAGCAAACUAGAAACAAAAUUAUCAAACAGAAGAGUUCAAAAUUUAUAGAAUGACUGAGAAACCUUUUAAUCAAAAGAGAAUGCAGAGCCACUACCAGAUAAGAUGCUUCACAGGCUAGAUCAUGAAACUAGAACAAGCAGUUUCAUACAAACUUGGGAAUAUUAUUUUGAUUACUAUGCUGCUGGUUUUAAAUUUGCACGCUUAACAAUUACCAGGUAUGUACAUCAAAUUAUUUUGAUUAUUAUGUUGCUAGUUUUAAGUUUCACACUUGUGGUUUCUAUUGUGUUACUUGUUGGUUGGGUGCAUUGUUAUAGAUCUCAUAUUGUCUUCACAUCCUAUGGUACUUUGAAUGAACUUGAUGACCUUUUACUUCACUAGUUUUGAGCAUUUUAUUAAAUAUCUUUGUGCUUAGAUGUGUAUUUGAUAAUUGUUUAUAGUUGAUCAAGCUUGAGGAAGAGAGAUGUAAAGAAGCAAAAACAAGAGUGUUAGAGAAUAUCAAUUAGAAAGCAAAAGAAGAGACCAUGGGUGUUGUUCAACGCACCUUGAUAACAUGUGUACCGGGGAGGCAUCAUCAUAUUCAAGGACUCCUAAGCGGAAGCAAGGAUGUGUCCUCUUCUAAAAAGUUGAGAAGCCCCAAAUCAAUAUUUCAAGCUCUCUUUGCUUUCCUUCUCUGGAUUGCAUAAACUGUCAGAAUCAAUGGUCAACAAAUUCACAUGGAUUGUGUCAAGAGCUAUGACAUUAGAAGUAUUAUCAACCGGCGUUGCUGGAAACUACAACGGAGAAUUACAAAUGACAUUGAAUUGCAAGUGCCUUCUCCACUAGUUCCAACUCAGAAGAGCUAUUUUGGGAGGUAUUGUGAACAACAUGGUAAGGGAACAUGGGUUGUUGUUGACGUUUCCUUAGACAAUUUACGCCUAGCUUCUACUCUUAGAUGUAGAAGGUCAUCCGACGCUUAAUCCAAUAAAUGCCCAAUGGUUAUUUUAAGGUUACAUGGCUUGAGCAUGUUGAGGUGGAUGAUCGUGGUGUCCACAAUUUAUACAGCCAGCUAGUUAGCUUGGCCACACGUUUCACGCAAAGCAAUGGAUUGCCACGUUGGAUCAUCAGUGCAAACUUCAGUAUAUGUGAUUGUUCAUUUCUGAAAGGGCCAAACACCAUUAUGUGAAGCUGAGGGAUCAUGUAGAUAGCGAGGCAAUCAGAAUGAUUGAAGUCAUAUCGGGUUGAAAGCUAAGUGAUUGUAUAAAUAGCUAGGCGACCAUUGAAGGUUGAAGAGUGAAAAGGUAUUUAGGAUUUCUUAUUUAAGUCUUGUAUUUUGUUGUAGAAUGUAUAUAUAAACACAAUAUAAGAUUUCAUUUUGUGUAUAUAAAUCUAAAAGACAAACAUUAUAGUUUCUAAAAUAAUAUUAAUUUUAUUGA